UGAUCAUGGCUCAGGACGAACGCUGGCGGCGCGCCUAACACAUGCAAGUCGAACGAGAGAUGAGGAGCUUGCUCUUCAAAUCGAGUGGCGAACGGGUGAGUAACGCGUGAGGAACCUGCCUCAAAGAGGGGGACAACAGUUGGAAACGACUGCUAAUACCGCAUAAGCCCACGGCUCGGCAUCGAGCAGAGGGAAAAGGAGCAAUCCGCUUUGAGAUGGCCUCGCGUCCGAUUAG
rnacentral:rRNA from 1 species